GAAAAGUACACUUGGAGUUCAUAAUUCUCCAAAAGAGAAGCUACAAAGCAGCAACAUGCCACACGUAGCUGCUGUUAAGGACUGAAUUGUGCCCCCUCAAAAUUCAUUCGUUGAAGCCCUAACCCCUAAUGUAAUUAUAUUUGAAGAUAAGGCCUUUAAGGAGGUAAUUAAGACUAAAUGAGGGGCGGUUGCGGUAACUCACCCAUUUAAAAAAACAAAAACAAACAAACAAACAAAACAGAGUCUCACUACAUUGCCCAGGCUGGUCUUAAACUCCUGGCCUCAAGUGAUCCUCCUGCCUCGGCCUCCCAAAGUGUCGGAAUUACAGUCAUGAGCCACUGUGCCCAGCCGAUUGUCUCUUUUUAUUCUUAUAAUAUCCCAUUUGGAGAAACUGAGACUCAAAAAUGUUAAGGAACCUAUUGCCCAUACAUCAUUUAGCUAGUAAAUCCAAAACUGGGAUCAAACCCUCUUUUAGUCUGGACCCAAAGCUUGGUCCUUGAAUCACUACAAGUUCCUGUGUUCUUACUGUAAGUAGCUGCACCUUCUGCCUCCCUGGAAUUAAUAGGUCUCCUGAUAGUCAAUGCCUGCCUAUAUAUCCAUGAGCCAACUGCUCUGCCUGCUCUCAAAAUGGUAUUUAGAAAGCAAUAUUUCGGUAUGGUUUUGCUAUUGCUAUUGAGAUGUCAAUACUCCCAGGUCCUUUCAGGGGAUUGAACUAACCAAUGCAUGUGUUUGUGCAUGUAUACACACACACAUGAGCAUAUAGAUAUGUAUAUGAGUGUAUACAUAUAAAUGUGUAUGAAUAUGGACAUGAAAACAUAUAUGUAAAUGUGUGUACACAUGUUUACAUUUAUAUCUA
rnacentral:lncRNA from 1 species